AAAUCAAAGGGUGAAAGAAGAGAAGAGUGUCAGUUUCUUUUAUAUGUAGUGUAAAUUCUUUUGUAGCAGUGAGCUAGUGGGACUGAUUCUUCUUUGUCCUUGCACGAUGUUUCAAGUCUGAGCAAACUGGUGUGAAGCACACCCUUUGCUUAAAGGUAAAGAGGUACAAGACAAUUGAGAAUCUGUCCCACUUGGCUUUCAUUUACGGUAAGUUAUCUUAGAGAAAGGUUAAGAGCUUUCAGCUACUGAAAACUGGUGCUGCUUAGGGCCAGAUUCACUAAAACUGUAUGCACACUUCAUAGCAUUUCUCUACGGGGGUUUUAUCCUCCAGUUAUCCUUCUGUCUUUGAUCAUUAACUCCUUUGUCUUGAGAACAGAAGAAAAGCUUUACUCUGCUUCAUUAUCUUCUUCUUUUACCAUAUAGGAAGUGAAGUACAACACUUUUAUUCAGGUUAAUGUUUCCCUCCCCUAUGCAUCCUCUUCCAAAAUGAAGGGAAGGUCUGGGAAAUAAGCAUCAAUAUGUCUGGCAGGAGAGCAAGCAAGAGAGCCCAUCUGCAGCUGAAUUUAAGAAGGCACACUUGUUUGGAAGACCUACCUAGGGUACAAGGCCCAUCCCACCUAAUGUAGGUUUCUACUUCUCCCACUAAGGGAAGAAGGAAUCAUGAGAGGGCAGAUCUGUAAUGACCUGCAGUCAACAAAUUUUCCAUUUGUGGUCUCAAGGAAUGUUUUCACUAGUGAGUUUUGUCUGUAAGAAGUGAAUACUCACUAUAAUGUAGUAAGUCAUACCUUCCUUUCUAGUGCAUAAAGCUUAUUUUUAGUGAAUAUGGCCCUUAGGAAAAAGGAGUAAUUGUAUGCUUUGAUAAAUACCUAUGACUCUCCACAAGCAAAACCAGGUUUUGCUGUAGCAUGCUAAUUUAAUCUAAAACAAUCUAUCUAAUAAAAUUAUGCCCUUUUCAUGAGCUAAUCUUGAACACAAUUGACUAAAUUGAUUAAUAGUUGCCACGUCAAAAUCUAGAUUAUAAACCUGUAAGCAAAUCCAAGUCAUUUCCUGACUAGUUUUCCAAGGCUUUGUAAUUUGUUUGUUUUUUUUUUUUUUUGCCACUGGAAUGUACAUACAAGAAUGAAAUAAAGACCAGCUUCUGGUAACAAUGAGAGAAAACAGAUGUACACUUGGCACAACUUUUGGCACUCUCACAAGUAAGGUAGAGCUCUAGAGCACCUGGCAAUUGAGAGAGGGGUUAAUAUUGACGUAUUCAAGUGAAAAGGAAAGGCCUGUGCUGAUUUGUAAGUUUUGUGAGAGAGAUUGAUGAUGGUGAAUUUAUAUAACUUAAUUGCCACUUGGUAGCUCAAAUGCAAAGCAGCAGUGAACAUCAGUCUUCAUUCUGGUCCUUGAAGGUCACCCCUGCAAUGCCUGGUGGCUCACUGAUGAAGGCAGGAGAGAAAUUAUGACUCCAAACCUGCUCCUCCAAGUGGCUGCCACUGGUCAUGAAGCUUGAAGAAGUUCCUAAUUUUUCCUUGCCUUUAACUCCCACUGCUUGGAAAGUGUGUGGUUCCUCAGACACAGGGCCUUCAAGGCCACAUCCCACCUCUCAGGAGAACAUCCUACCCAGGAGGUGAGGACAGAGCACCUAUGCUGGUAGAAGGCUGCUCUGCAGCCAAAAUACAGCAGAUGGGCCUGGGAGAAACCACAGCCCAACUCUGAGCAGCUUUGCUCUUUGCUCUGGGUACAUGGGACCAAACAGAGCCUGCCAAAAUGUUUGGCUGAAAAUUUUGCCAUUUCUGGAUGUGGUUAAAUGUAGGAGUGAGCUUGGUUUUGUGUGCCUCAGCUUGGACAAGACUUGGACAGAUGGGGCACAUGCUGAACUGCAGUCCUUGGCCCAGGAACCUUUUCUAUCCUGCCUUUGGUCUGCUUAUGUUCAGCUUAGCAGAAAUAUUCAGGACUUGUUUUGGACACUGCUAUGUGCACCUGGCCUCUAUUUCACUUCAAAUGACCAAUAAUUUUGUAUCUGGGCUUAAAGGUAUGGUGAAGAUGUUUAAAACAAUGAACAAAGAAAAAAAAAAAAAGAAAAUAAAGAAUUGAAAAAAGGAACAGAUAAAUGCUUACCUAGUAAUGUAGAAAGGGUUUACUUAUUUUUUAUGUAUAUAAUUUUGUUCCAUUGGAGGAUGAGCAAGGUGUUGGAAAGAAGCAUAUAUUUAUGUCUUACACUGAACACCAUAGCAGUGCAGUGUGUGAAAAAUAAGAGACAUCUAAAUUCUCAGGAUUUUUUUUUCCUUGCAGUAAUGUGGUUCAGACUUGUCCUCACUGACAUAAGUCGGACUUUCCAAAUACUGGUUGGAUGUCACAGAAAAACCUUGAUGCCAGCUGUAGAAAUACUACAGUUUUCACUCUUUCCAUGGCAGUUUUCUUGGGGACAAAAAGGAAUCAAAGAGAUGUCAUCCUGAAGGCAUGUUUGCUGGUGAGAGGAUGGUGGCCCUUGACUCAGAAAUCAGUUGAACUGAACAGUGUCAUGACCCUGCUGUGCAUCAGCUGUGGCAGUAUCUGCACUGUCACCUGGCAGCUAGGCCUGUGACAGAAUUUCAAGUCUUUGGAUUGCUGAGAAGAGUUGGGCCAUGGAAGCAUAUAUUCACAGGUCUGUGUAUUCUGCUGUCAUUUACCUGGCAUCCUUUGUGUACUCCAGCAUCACUGAGUGGAGAUCCCCACAAGAAUUUGCCUCACAGCCAACCACGAUCUAUAGCACAAAUAAAAUCAACUGCUAUAACAAGUCAGAACUGCCCACUUGGAUGUGGGAGGUGCUUUCCUACAACUCUACGUGCAAGCUCCCAGGGCUCAGGU